rnacentral:rRNA from 1 species
CCUACGGGGGGCAGCAGUGAGGAAUAUUGGUCAAUGGGCGAGAGCCUGAACCAGCCAAGUCGCGUGAGGGAGUACUGCCUUAUGGGUUGUAAACCUCUUUUGUCGGGGAGCAAAAGCCGGACGUGUCCGGCUGUGAGAGUACCCGAAGAAAAAGCAUCGGCUAACUCCGUGCCAGCAGCCGCGGUAAUACGGAGGAUGCGAGCGUUAUCCGGAUUUAUUGGGUUUAAAGGGUGCGCAGGCGGAUUUUUAAGUCAGCGGUAAAAUCGUGGGGCUCAACCCCAUCCAGCAGUUGAAACUGGGGAUCUAGAGUGUGCGAGAGGUAUGCGGAAUGCGUGGUGUAGCGGUGAAAUGCAUAGAUAUCACGCAGAACCCCGAUUGCGAAGGCAGCAUACCGGUGCACAACUGACGCUCAGGCACGAAAGCGUGGGUAUCGAACAGGAUUAGAUACCCGUGUAGUC